rnacentral:rRNA from 1 species
GAGUUUGAUCCUGGCUCAGGAUGAACGCUGGCGGCGUGCCUAAUACAUGCAAGUCGAGCGAACAGAUAAGGAGCUUGCUCCUUUGACGUUAGCGGCGGACGGGUGAGUAACACGUGGGUAACCUACCUAUAAGACUGGAAUAACUCCGGGAAACCGGGGCUAAUGCCGGAUAAUAUUUAGAACCGCAUGGUUCUAAAGUGAAAGAUGGUUUUGCUAUCACUUAUAGAUGGACCCGCGCCGUAUUAGCUAGUUGGUGGGGUAAUGGCUUACCAAGGCAACGAUACGUAGCCGACCUGAGAGGGUGAUCGGCCACACUGGAACUGAGACACGGUCCAGACUCCUACGGGAGGCAGCAGUAGGGAAUCUUCCGCAAUGGGCGAAAGCCUGACGGAGCAACGCCGCGUGAGUGAUGAAGGUCUUCGGAUCGUAAAACUCUGUUAUUAGGGAAGAACAAAUGUGUAAGUAACUGUGCACGUCUUGACGGUACCUAAUCAGAAAGCCACGGCUAACU